CCUACGCGCGGCUGCAGUGGGGAAUAUUGGACAAUGGGCGAAAGCCUGAUCCAGCCAUGCCGCGUGUGUGAAGAAGGCCUUCGGGUUGUAAAGCACUUUCAGUGGGGAAGAAAGCCUUGGGGCUAAUACCCUCGAGGAAGGACAUCACCCACAGAAGAAGCACCGGCUAACUCCGUGCCAGCAGCCGCGGUAAUACGGAGGGUGCGAGCGUUAAUCGGAAUUACUGGGCGUAAAGCGCGCGUAGGCGGUCUGAUAAGCCGGUUGUGAAAGCCCCGGGCUUAACCUGGGAACGGCAUCCGGAACUGUCAGGCUAGAGUGCAGGAGAGGAAGGUAGAAUUCCCGGUGUAGCGGUGAAAUGCGUAGAGAUCGGGAGGAAUACCAGUGGCGAAGGCGGCCUUCUGGACUGACACUGACGCUGAGGUGCGAAAGCGUGGGUAGCAAACAGGAUUAGAUACCCCUGUAGUC
rnacentral:rRNA from 1 species